CUUCUUGCUACACCCUCACGACUAAUGACAGUGCUCACUGCUUUGAGGACUCUCAUUAGCCGCGCGAGUCACUGUAGCGGAAGAGGUUCAAGUUUUAGAAACGGUGCAAAAAACAGUAGAUUAAAUUUUCCGAUUCUGUUUCCUGACAAUUCCGUUUCCUAGAAGAAAAGGGGCCCGAUUAGGCCCCUUUCC
rnacentral:sRNA from 1 species